AAGACUAAGCCUAGCCUAAGCCAAAGCCUGAGCCUAAGCCAAAGCCUGAGCUUAAGCCUAAGCCUAAGCCUA
ensembl:ncRNA F25F1.3 ncRNA